AGAUUAGAGUUUGAUCAUGGCUCAGAACGAACGCUGGCGGCAUGCCUAACACAUGCAAGUCGAACGAAGGCCCUAGCUUGCUAGGUGUCCUUAGUGGCGAACGGGUGAGUAACGCGUGGGAAUCUGCCAUAGAGUGGGGAACAACUUUUGGAAACGAAAGCUAAUACCGCAUACGCCCUCCGGGGGAAAGGCUUCGGCCGCUCUUUGAUGAUCCCGCGUCUGAUUAGCUUGUUGGUAGGGUAACGGCUUACCAAGGCGACGAUCAGUAGCUGGUCUGAGAGGAUGAUCAGCCACACUGGGACUGAGACACGGCCCAGACUCCUACGGGAGGCAGCAGUGGGGAAUAUUGGACAAUGGGGGAAACCCUGAUCCAGCAAUGCCGCGUGAGUGAAGAAGGCCUUAGGGUUGUAAAACUCUUUCGCCGGUGAAGAUGAUGACUGUAGCCGGUAAAGAAGCCCCGGCUAACUCCGUGCCAGCAGCCGCGGUAAUACGGAGGGGGCUAGCGUUGUUCGGAUUUACUGGGCGUAAAGCGCACGUAGGCGGCAUAUUAAGUUAGAGGUGAAAGGCCUGGGCUCAACCUAGGAACUGCCUUUAAUACUGGUAUGCUUGAGUUCGGAAGAGGGUAGUGGAAUUCCAAGUGUAGAGGUGAAAUUCGUAGAUAUUUGGAAGAAC
rnacentral:rRNA from 1 species